rnacentral:rRNA from 1 species
UACAGAGGGGCCAGCGUUAUUCGGAAUUAUUGGGCGUAAAGGGCGCGUAGGCGGCCAUGCGUGUCUUCCGUGAAAUCCCUCGGCUUAACUGAGGACGUGCGGAAGAAACUGCAAGGCUCGAGUCCGGGAGAGGGGGGUGGAAUUCCCAGUGUAGCGGUGAAAUGCGUAGAUAUUGGGAGGAACACCGGUGGCGAAGGCGGCCCCCUGGACCGGUACUGACGGCUGAGGCGCGAAAGCGUGGGUAGCAAACGGG